rnacentral:rRNA from 1 species
UUUAUUAUAAGUAAAAUCUGCUCAAUGUAUUAUAAAUAGCCGCAGAUUAACUGUGCUAAGGUAGCAUAAUCAUUAGUCUUUUAAUUUAAGACUAGAAUGAAUGAUUUUACAUUUUAAUUUAUUUUUUUAUAAAAAUUAAAAAAAUUUAAUUAAGAAUAAAAAUGUUCUUAUAAAAUAAAUAGACGAUAAGACCCUAUUGAACUUUACUAAAGUUAAGCUGGGGAAGCUAAUUAAAAAUAAUUUUAAUUGUUUUAACAAAAUAAAAAUCCAAUUAAAUUGAUUUAACAAGUUACCAUAGGGAUAACAGCGUAAUAUUAUUUAAAAGUUCCUAUUCAAAAUAAAGAUUACGACCUCGAUGUUGAAUUAAUUUUUCUAAAAAACGAAACUGUUUUAUAAAGAAGGUCUGU